rnacentral:rRNA from 1 species
UACGUGGGCAGCGAGCGUUGUUCGGAGUUACUGGGCGUAAAGGGUGUGUAGGCGGUUGUUUAAGUUUGGUGUGAAAUCUCCCGGCUCAACUGGGAGGGUGCGCCGAAUACUGAAUGACUAGAGUGCGGGAGAGGUGAGUGGAAUUCCUGGUGUAGCGGUGAAAUGCGUAGAUAUCAGGAGGAACACCGGUGGUGUAGACGGCUCACUGGACCGUAACUGACGCUGAGACACGAAAGCGUGGGUAGCAAACAGG